rnacentral:snRNA from 1 species
AUUCCUUCUUGGCCUUUUGGCUAAGAUCAAGUGUAGUAUCUGUUCUUAUGAGCUUAAUAUCUAAAACUUCUGGGGCCAGGGAGAUGGCUCAGUGGAAUAAGCGCUUCCUUGGCAAGCGUAAGGGCCUGAGUUCAAUCCCCAGUUCCACAAAAA